rnacentral:rRNA from 1 species
GACGAACGCUGGCGGCGUGCUUAACACAUGCAAGUCGAACGGUGAAGGGACCAGCUUGCUGGUUCUGGAUGAGUGGCGAACGGGUGAGUAACACGUGAGUAACCUGCCCCCUUCUUCUGGAUAACCGCAUGAAAGUGUGGCUAAUACGGGAUAUUCUGGGUCUGUCGCAUGGCGGGCCCGGUAAAGAUAUUGCUUCGGUGGGGGAUGGGCUCGCGGCCUAUCAGCUUGUUGGCGGGGUGAUGGCCUGCCAAGGCGGUGACGGGUAGCCGGCCUGAGAGGGUGGACGGUCCGACUGGAACAGCGACAACGCCCAGACUGCUACGGGAGGCAGACGUGUGGAGUAGUGAGCAAUGGGCGCAAGCCUGAUGCAGCGGCGAGGCGUGAGGGAUGGAGGCGUUCGGGUUGUAAACCUCUUUCGCUAGUGAAGCAGGCCUGCUCCUUGUGGGUGGGUGGACGGUAGCUGGAUAAGAAGCGCCGGCAACCUACGU